UACCGAGUUAUCAACUCCCAAACCCCUGUGAACAUACCUUUAACGUUGCCUCGGCGGGACCGCCCCGGCGCCCACUCGCGGCCCGGACCCAGGCGCCCGCCGGAGGACCCAAACUCUUGCUUUGAACAGUGGCAUACUCUCUGAGUCUCACAAACAAAAAUGAAUCAAAACUUUCAACAACGGAUCUCUUGGCUCUGGCAUCGAUGAAGAACGCAGCGAAAUGCGAUAAGUAAUGUGAAUUGCAGAAUUCAGUGAAUCAUCGAAUCUUUGAACGCACAUUGCGCCCGCCAGCAUUCUGGCGGGCAUGCCUGUCCGAGCGUCAUUUCAACCCUCAGGACCCCUUCGGGGGACCUGGUGUUGGGGGCCGGCCGCCUCGCGCGCCGCCCCCGAAAUGCAGUGGCGACCUCGCCGCAGCCUCCCCUGCGUAGUAGCACAACCUCGCACCGGAGCGCGGAGACGGUCACGCCGUAAAACGCCCAACUUUCACGAGUUGACCUCGGAUCAGGUAGGAAUACCCGCUGAACUUAAGCAUAUCAAUAAGCGGAGGAAAAGAAACCAACAGGGAUUGCCAGUAACGGCGAGUGAAGCGGCAACAGCUCAAAUUUGAAAUCUGGGAGUUGUAAUUUGCAGAGGAUGCUUUUGGCGCGGUGCCUUCCGAGUUUGGAACGGGACUAGAGGGUGAGAGCCCGUCUGGUCGGACCAGCCAGUGUAAAGCUCUUCGACGAGUCGAGUAGUUUGGGAAUGCUGCUCUAAAUGGGAGGUAUAUGUCUUCUAAAGCUAAAUA
rnacentral:rRNA from 1 species